GUUAAAAUUCAAACAAUGAUGAACACAUUAUCCCGAAUCUGAGCCUUUUUUGAUGAUGCUUAACUAUGGAUCUGACUGCUGAGUUUGAAAGGAACUGAAGUCAUUGAAAGGUUACAUGCUAUAAUAGGAGAGUAGUUCUUGACUAUUGUCCUUAUUGAACAGGUAUGCUGCUUCCACACACAAUUAAGGGAGGUCAGGCUACUCUGGAAAGGCUUAAGGUGUUUGAUGGAUUCCCUCCUUCUUAUGACAAGGAAUAAGGAAGCGUAUGGUUGUCCCAGCUACUCUCAGGAUUCUGCAUCUGAAGCCUACACGCAAGUUUGCCCUGCUUGGCACAUAAGGUUGGUUGGAAGUACCAAGCCAUCACUGCCACUCUGGAGGAAAAAAGGAAGGAGAAGGCCAAGCUGCGUUACGUAAAGAUAUAAAAUUUACCAAGCAGGCAAAAAAGAACGCUACAAAAUUUUGGUGGCCACAAACCUCAUGCAUAUGAGGGUAUCAACAUCUCUUGUACUAUACUUCUGUGCCCCAUCUUCUGGAAGAAUGUAAGGGGUAUGCCUUCACACAAAGAGAUCAGACUGCUCGUGAAAGGCUAGGUGUUUGAAAUUUCCCUUUUAUGUCAUGAUAAAGCGUAUGGUCAUCCCAGCUCCUCAAGAUUGUGUGUUAAGCGCACUUGCAAGUUUGCUCUGCUUGUAUAUUUGGGACAUGAGGUUGGUUGGAAUACCACGGCAUCACUGCCACUCUUAAGGAAUGGAGGAAGAGAAGGCCACGCUUUAUUACAUCAAGAAGAUUGCAAAUAUACUGGAGGCUUUAUACCGUGUGGUGGUGGUGUUUGUGCUGUCCCUGCAUUCAUUCAAAAUAUUCAGCCAUCACAGAUGUAUCUUCUGGAAGACCGUAAGAGGUAUGCUUUCACACAAAACUGAGUUAAGGCUGCUCUGGAAAGGCUGUAGGUGUUUGAUGGAAUCCCUCCCUUUAUGACAAGUGAAAGCGCAUGAUUGUCCCAGCUGCUCUCAAGAUUAUGUGCCUGAAGCACACUUGCAAGGUAUGCUUUCACACAAAACUGCGUUAAGGCUGCUCUGGAAAGGCUGUAGGUGUUUGAUGGAAUCCCUCCCUUUAUGACAAGUGAAAGCGCAUGAUUGUCCCAGCUGCUCUCAAGAUUAUGUGCCUGAAGCACACUUGCAAGGUAUGCUUUCACACAAAACUGAGUUAAGGCUGCUCUGGAAAGGCUGUAGGUGUUUGAUGGAAUCCCUCACUUUAUGACAAGUGAAAGCAUAUGAUUGUCCUAGCUGCUCUCAAGAUAACGUGCCUGAAGCACACUUGCAAGUUUGCUGACUAUCAGGCCAUCACUGCUACUUUGUAGGAAGAAGGCCAAGCUCUGCAUCAAGAAUGAUUUCUUAUUGAUCAAGCAUGCAGAAAAUGUUGAAUAAAAUCAAAAAAAAUAUUGCUGAUCUUAGACAUGGUUUUCUUUUUUGGCUGUAGCCUGUCACAAUGUUUAUUCAUUUGACCUACUGUAAAUGUUUAACUUAUGAAAUUUUUUAAUGGAUUUUGUCAACCAUUGUCAUGGUUGAAGUCUUGAAUUGUAUUUACAAAAUAAAAUUGUUUAAAUGUGUUCUCUAUGAAAGCUCCCUGUUGCUAAUAUUCAUUUUGUGUGCGGCUAGAAAUGCUGUACCUAAGGAAACCAAACAUAAAAUGUGCCUUCCCCACGAAUUAUAGAGUAUCGUGUAGUUGCUGUGCUAUAGUUCUUGGUAUUUAGAACACUGCACAUUAUAUUGAGGGGAUGUACUAAUGGGUGGGUAAGUAGACUAGAGGAAGGCCUGCGGUCCAAGACUUUGAAACCCCUGACAUGGGUUUAAUAAUCAAACCUGACUGAGGGCAGUGGGCCAAAAAUAAGUGUUGCUAUGUUAUAUUAAAGUUGCUCUGAUUCUCCAAUUUAUAAUUUUCUAAAAUCAUUUUGCCACUCUUUUUUUAUUUCCUUUUUGUCUGUAGGCCAUUGCCUUGACCUCUCCGUUAUUAGCCUGUACCGGAGUUUGAGUUUCGUGAUGCAUGCUAGACACCAACCCUUUUCCUAACAUCUGCGUCAAUGAGGUUCAUCCUUUUAACUUCUCACGUCCCUAGUUUGGGAACAUAUGCCCUAACAAAGGAUCACGAGAACGAUUUGGAAAAUCUACAGAGAAGUCGCGUCACUGCGCCCCCAUUUAAUGCAAAGAGUAUAGAAGCCCAAGAGGCGAAACUCUUUGUUAUGGGUAACAGUCUGUAGAUGGCGCUGCGGAGCCAUGGCCGCCGUUAUGGACUGAAAGCUGCUGAAAUCGUUAGCGCGCCUCACAACUGCAUCCACCACUACCAGCCUAGGUCGUCUAGGAGCACUUCACUUCAAUCAGUUAAAUCAGCCGUUCUUUCAAUCAGUUCAAAUGAUCAGUUCUUCCAAUCAGUUAUUGUUCAUUUUUAGAAAUCUAUACAAAACUUGAACUGGCUUGCUGACUAAUGCUUCCAUUCUAUGUCAGUGCCUCUCCUCUCGCAAAAAGAAAAAAAAUACAACAAAACUUCUCAUACACAAAUGCUCACACAAUAGAUGGUGGUGUCUGAUUAAUUACUGCGAUAUUGUGGCUCCAUUUUAGUACUGUUUAUAGUUAAUGUGUGCACUUGCUAGAUUGCACAUCUUUUUUGUACCUUUCCGCCUGUAAUAGGACAUUCACAGAUUGUUUUUGUUCUUGCCAUUGAAACGUUCACUGUGUGCACUUUCACUGAAGAUGUUGAAAAAACUUGUUAAUAUUUUUGUGAUAUUCUAUGUAAAAGAUUAA